AGAGGGUGAAUCAGAGUUCAUCUUUCUUAAAUCAGGGAUGAUCUGGUGAGAAGCGUUGUGCAUCCUAAAUAUGCGCCUAACCCUUUCCUUUUUAAAGACGGAGAAAAGGAAAUCGAAUAUUUCCAAAUCUCCUAGAGAAUCCUUAACAAAGAGCGACCGGGCUAGAACAAAAGAAAUCCGAUCCAGGAAGGAAAAAUGCUAUUCAUCUACCCUAAAAAUCACGCUCCCGCCUUU
rnacentral:lncRNA from 1 species